rnacentral:tRNA from 1 species
GGGCCUGUAGCUCAGUUGGUUAGAGGCACCCCUGAUAAGGGUGAGGUCGGAGGUUCAAAUCCUCCCAGGCCCACCA